AGGUGUAGCAAUACAUGCUGACGAGCGGCGAACGGGUGAGUAAUGCAUCGGAAUCUUCCUAGUAGUGGGGAAUAAUCUGGGGAAACUCAGGCUAAUACCGCAUACGACCUACGGGUGAAAGCAGGGGCUCGCAAGACCUUGCGCUAUUAGAUGAGCCGAUGUCGGAUUAGCUAGUUGGUGAGGUAACGGCUCACCAAGGCUACGAUGUUUAGGGGAUCUGAGAGGAUUAACCCCCACACUGGUACUGAGACACGGACCAGACUCCUACGGGAGGCAGCAGUAAGGAAUAUUGGACAAUGGGCGCAAGCCUGAUCCAGCCAUGCCGCGUGCAGGAUGACGGCCCUAUGGGUUGUAAACUGCUUUUAUACGGGAAAAAACCCUCGCUCGUGAGCGAGGCUGAUGGUACCGUAAGAAUAAGGAUCGGCUAACUCCGUGCCAGCAGCCGCGGUAAUACGGAGGAUCCAAGCGUUAUCCGGAUUUAUUGGGUUUAAAGGGUGCGUAGGCGGAUUUGUAAGUCAGUGGUGAAAUCCUGCAGCUCAACUGUAGAACUGCCAUUGAUACUGCAAGUCUUGAGUACAUAUGAUGUGGGCGGAAAGUGUAGUGUAGCGGUGAAAUGCUUAGAUAUUACACAGAACACCGAUUGCGAAGGCAGCUCACAAAACUGUAACUGACGCUGAGGCACGAAAGCGUGGGGAGUGAACAGGAUUAGAUACCCUGGUAAUCCACGCCUUAAACGAUGAUUACUCGAUGUGUGCAAUACACCGUACGCGUCCUAGCGAAAGCGUUAAGUAAUCCACCUGGGGAGUACGGCCGUAAGGCUAAAACUCAAAGGAAUUGACGGGGGCCCGCACAAGCGGCGGAGCAUGUUGCUUAAUUCGACGCAACGCGAAGAACCUUACCAAGGUUUGACAUCACCCGGAAACGUCCAGAGAUGGGCGCCUCUUCGGACUGGGUGACAGGUGGUGCAUGGCUGUCGUCAGCUCGUGUCGUGAGAUGUUGGGUUAAGUCCCGCAACGAGCGCAACCCUUGUUCCAUGUUGCCAGCACGCUCCUUCGGGGGUGGUGGGGACUCAUGGGAGACUGCCGGGGUCAACUCGGAGGAAGGUGGGGAUGACGUCAAGUCAUCAUGCCCCUUAUGUCUUGGGCUGCAAACAUGCUACAAUGGCCGGUACUGAGGGCUGCUAAACCGUGAGGUGGAGCGAAUCCCUAAAAGCCGGUCUCAGUUCGGAUUGGGGUCUGCAACUCGACCCCAUGAAGUCGGGGUCGCUAGUAAUCGCAGAUCAGCAACGCUGCGGUGAAUACGUUCCCGGGCCUUGUACACACCGCCCGUCACGUCACGAAAGUCGGCAACACCCGAAGCCCGUGGCCCAACCACCUUGUGUGGGGGGAGCGGUCGAAGGUGGGGCUGGCGAUUGGGACGAAGUCGGAACAAGGUA
rnacentral:rRNA from 1 species